UCGGGAACUCAAAGGAGACUGCCAGUGAUAAACUGGAGGAAGGUGGGGAUGACGUCAAGUCAUCAUGGCCCUUACGACCAGGGCUACACACGUGCUACAAUGGCGCAUACAAAGAGAAGCGACCUCGCGAGAGCAAGCGGACCUCAUAAAGUGCGUCGUAGUCCGGAUUGGAGUCUGCAACUCGACUCCAUGAAGUCGGAAUCGCUAGUAAUCGUGGAUCAGAAUGCCACGGUGAAUACGUUCCCGGGCCUUGUACACACCGCCCGUCACACCAUGGGAGUGGGUUGCAAAAGAAGUAGGUAGCUUAACCUUCGGGAGGGCGCUUACCACUUUGUGAUUCAUGACUGGGGUGAAGUCGUAACAAGGUAACCGUAGGGGAACCUGCGGUUGGAUCACCUCCUUACCUUAAAGAAG
rnacentral:rRNA from 1 species